rnacentral:ncRNA from 1 species
GAAGGUGCCCCAUCUUUCGGGGAGAAUAGACAAGCCGGGUGAAAUUCCCGCACAGUCCCGCUGCCGUGUUGGCAAGAGCGCGCAAAUGGAUGUCACUGGGAAACUGGGAAGGCUGCGUGUCUCGAUGAACCUCAGUCGGAAGACCUGCCUGUGUC